GAACACCCCUAAUAAUGAGUACUGAGGCUUGUUUCCAUCUCACUGAAAAAACUGAUCCUGUCACUGGGCUAUGGUCCACGACUAGAACAUGGCAAGCUCCUGUUACCCUCCUGCCUCUAAAGGAGGACUGAGCACAAAGUACAUGGAUCUGCGUACAAUAUUUCAGUAAGUUGCCGCAGCCAUCAGAGGGGAUGAAGAUGGACUUCAAAGAAGCCAACUGGACAGCUGAUGGAUCACUCUCUCUCCUCUACAUAGGCUGGGGCUUUUAAAGCUUGCCAGCGGUUUGGGUCUUUUUCUGCUCUGUGAAGCUGCACGCGCUGGCCCGCUCCUCUUCUUAAAGACAGGCUCCUCUAGUCGAAAGAUGGAAGCCCCUUUUUGGUGGGAAGAACACCUGGUUCUCUCCGAUUGACAUGAACAGUAGCCACAGGGGUGGAAGAAGUGUUCCAGGGAACACUGUGGACCCAGUUUUCCAGGAAUCAUGCACCUUGGAAGCU